rnacentral:lncRNA from 1 species
UUAAAUAGAGCGUUUGAUAUAGAACUGGCAAUACAGCCAGAGAACGUGAUUUAAGCUUCAGCACCCCGAACGAAUUAGAGCACGCAAACGUGCAAUCCAUCCUUUCCUGGAUGCGGGCAAGAAGAAAAGAGAAAAUGGGACGACCGAAGUCAAGAUCCCAAAAAAAAAAAAAAAGCCGUGGCAGAGUCAGAAUGCGCCACCGCGAUAUCAGAACUGAGACAAACGGCCUUAUGUUGGCCCAACUGCCCCAGAAGCAGUAAACUUUCAAGGACCGCGAGGGUUAUCGACUUGUCGAAGAGCAAUAAAUUACAUCUGAGAGAAUGCAAGAUGAGACAG